CAAUAGCGUAUGCUUGGGUUGUUGCAGUUAAAAAGCUCGUAGUUGGAUUUCUUCCAUCAAUAACUUGUCCGCGCUUCGGCGUGUGUACUUGUUGUUGGUGGAAUCUAUUCGAGUCUGGGCGUUGCGCUUGAUUGCGUGGGUCUUGAUUCGGAGCUGAUACUUUGAGAAAAUUAGAGUGUUUCAAGCAGGCGUUAUGCCCUGAAUACUGCAGCAUGGGAUAUCGAGACAGGACUUCGGUCCUAUCUUUUUGGUUCUCGGGAUCGAAGUAAUGAUUAAUAGGGAUAGUUGGGGGCAUUCGUAUGCGAGCGCUAGUGGUGAAAUACUUUGAUUGCUCGCAGACGGACUACUGCGAAAGCAUUUGCCAAGGAUGUUUUCAUUAA
rnacentral:rRNA from 1 species